rnacentral:rRNA from 1 species
ACCGGAUAAUAAGAGAAGAAGCAUUUCUUCUUUUUGAAAGUCGGUUUCGGCUGACACUUACAGAUGAGCCCGCGGCGCAUUAGCUAGUUGGUGAGGUAACGGCUCACCAAGGCGACGAUGCGUAGCCGACCUGAGAGGGUGAUCGGCCACACUGGGACUGAGACACGGCCCAGACUCCUACGGGAGGCAGCAGUAGGGAAUCUUCGGCAAUGGGCGAAAGCCUGACCGAGCAACGCCGCCUGAGCGAUGAAGGCCUUCGGGUCGUAAAGCUCUGUUGUUAGAGAAGAACAAGUACGAGAGUAACUGCUCG